rnacentral:rRNA from 1 species
CGUAGGGUGAACCUGCGGAAGGAUCAUUACCGA